AUGCGCUCCACCUGCGCUGUGCUCUUUAAAUACCUGUGUGUGACAACUUCUCUCUGCCAGAUCGUCUUGGUUCUUCCCUGCACGCAAUCAGCAUUACUCU